rnacentral:rRNA from 1 species
GGUAACACUAACUGGAGGACCGAACCGACUAAUGUUGAAAAAUUAGCGGAUGACCUGUGGCUGGGGGUGAAAGGCCAAUCAAACCGGGAGAUAGCUGGUUCUCCCCGAAAGCUAUUUAGGUAGCGCCUCGUGAAUUCAUCUCCGGGGGUAGAGCACUGUUUCGGCUAGGGGGCCAUCCCGGCUUACCAACCCGAUGCAAACUGCGAAUACCGGAGAAUGUUAUCACGGGAGACACACGGCGGGUGCUAACGUCCGUCGUGAAGAGGGAAACAACCCAGACCGCCAGCUAAGGUCCCAAAGUCAUGGUUAAGUGGGAAACGAUGUGGGAAGGCCCAGACAGCCAGGAUGUUGGCUUAGAAGCAGCCAUCAUUUAAAGAAAGCGUAAUAGCUCACUGGUCGAGUCGGCCUGCGCGGAAGAUGUAACGGGGCUAAACCAUGCACCGAAGCUGCGGCAGCGACGCUGAUGCGUUGUUGGGUAGGGGAGCGUUCUGUAAGCCUGCGAAGGUGGCCUGUGAGGGUUGCUGGAGGUAUCAGAAGUGCGAAUGCUGACAUAAGUAACGAUAAAGCGGGUGAAAAGCCCGCUCGCCGGAAGACCAAGGGUUCCUGUCCAACGUUAAUCGGGGCAGGGUGAGUCGACCCCUAAGGCGAGGCCGAAAGGCGUAGUCGAUGGGAAACGGGUUAAUAUUCCCGUACUUGGUGUUACUGCGAAGGGGGGACGGAGAAGGCUAUGUUGGCCGGGCGACGGUU